UACGUAGGGGGCGAGCGUUGUCCGGAUUUACUGGGCGUAAAGAGCGCGUAGGCGGAAGCUUAAGUGUGGCCUGAAAGCCCCCGGCUCAACCGGGGAAGGUGGCUGCAAACUGGGUCUUCUGGAGGGAUAGGGAAAGUGGAAUUCCGGGUGUAGCGGUGAAAUGCGUAGAGAUCCGGAGGAACACCAGUGGCGAAGGCGGCUUUCUGGGUCCGCCCUGACGCUGAGGCGCGAAAGCGUGGGGAGCGAACGGGAUUAGAAACCCCGGUAGU
rnacentral:rRNA from 1 species